rnacentral:rRNA from 1 species
UACGUAGGGCGCGAGCGUUGUCCGGAAUUAUUGGGCGUAAAGAGCUCGUAGGCGGCCUGUUGCGUCUGCUGUGAAAUCCCGGGGCUUAACCCCGGGCGUGCAGUGGAUACGGGCAGGCUGGAGGCAGGCAGGGGAGAAUGGAAUUCCCGGUGUAGCGGUGAAAUGCGCAGAUAUCGGGAGGAACACCGGUGGCGAAGGCGGUUCUCUGGGCCUGUUCUGACGCUGAGACACGAAAGCCAGGGGAGCGAACGGG